rnacentral:rRNA from 1 species
CCUACGGGGGGCAGCAGUGAGGGAUAUUGCGCAAUGGGCGAAAGCCUGACGCAGCGACGCCGCGUGGGCGAGGAAGGCCUUCGGGUUGUAAAGCCCUUUUGGCAGGGAAGAGCAAGGACUGUACCUGCAGAACAAGUCACGGCUAACUACGUGCCAGCAGCCGCGGUAAUACGUAGGGUGCGAGCGUUGCCCGGAUUUACUGGGCGUAAAGAGCGCGUAGGCGGCUCGGUAAGUUGGGCGUGAAAUCUCCCGGCUCAACCGGGAGGGGUCGUCCAAAACUGCCGGGCUUGAGGGCGGGAGAGGAAGGUGGAAUUCCCGGUGUAGGGGUGAAAUGCGUAGAUAUCGGGAGGAACACCAGUGGCGAAGGCGGCCUUCUGGCCCGUUCCUGACGCUGAGGCGCGAAGGCUAGGGGAGCGAACAGGAUUAGAUACCCUUGUAGU